GCCCUGGGUUCGGUCCCCAGCUCCGAAAAAUAGAAAAGAAAAAAAAAUAAAUAAAAGAAAGAAAGCCAACCCAAAGGUUUCUUGUUCUGCUAAUUUCCUGGAGCUUGGGGCACAGUGGGAAAGGGAUCAGCAGGAAAGUUAAACCACUAAUGAGAUGUCCUCGAAAAGUAAUGGAUUUUAAUUUGCAUUAUGAUAAAAUGCCCACUUCCCCCUCAGAGAACCAUCCUUUGUUUUCUUUCAGAUCUCCCUUUGUCUGUCUGAGUAAUCUUAUCUUUUUCCCCUAGAGACCCGAGUUUCUCUUUGUAGACCUGAUUGUCCUGGAAUUCACUCUGUAGACCAGGCUGGUCCCGAACUCGUAGAGAUCCACUUGCCUCUGCAUUCCAACUGCUGGGAUUAAAGUUUCAUGCCAUCAUUGCCCGGC
rnacentral:lncRNA from 1 species